rnacentral:rRNA from 1 species
UACGUAGGUGGCAAGCGUUGUCCGGAAUUACUGGGCGUAAAGGGCUUGUAGGCGGCCAACUAAGUCCGACGUGAAAUCCCCAGGCUUAACCUGGGAACUGCGUCGGAUACUGGAUGGCUUGAAUUCGGGAGAGGGAUGCAGAAUUCCAGGUGUAGCGGUGAAAUGCGUAGAUAUCUGGAGGAAUACCGGUGGCGAAGGCGGCAUCCUGGACCGACAUUGACGCUGAGGAGCGAAAGCUAGGGGAGCAAACGGG